rnacentral:rRNA from 1 species
UGGGGAAUAUUGCACAAUGGGCGCAAGCCUGAUGCAGCCAUGCCGCGUGUGUGAAGAAGGCCUUCGGGUUGUAAAGCACUUUCAGCGAGGAGGAAGGUGGUGAACUUAAUACGUUCAUCAAUUGACGUUACUCGCAGAAGAAGCACCGGCUAACUCCGUGCCAGCAGCCGCGGUAAUACGGAGGGUGCAAGCGUUAAUCGGAAUUACUGGGCGUAAAGCGCACGCAGGCGGUUUGUUAAGUCAGAUGUGAAAUCCCCGGGCUCAACCUGGGAACUGCAUUUGAAACUGGCAAGCUAGAGUCUCGUAGAGGGGGGUAGAAUUCCAGGUGUAGCGGUGAAAUGCGUAGAGAUCUGGAGGAAUACCGGUGGCGAAGGCGGCCCCCUGGACGAAGACUGACGCUCAGGUGCGAAAGCGUGGGGAGCAAACAGGAUUAGAUACCCCUGGUAGUCCACGCCGUAAACGAUGUCGAUUUUGGAGGUUGUGCCCUUGAGGCGUGGCUUCCGGAGCUAACGCGUUAAAUCGACCGCCUGGGGAGUACGGCCGCAAGGUU